GGCACAGGCGACAGGUGGGAGGAUUAAGAGGCUGCCGGAGAAUCUGGUUCACCAGGCUUUUCCUCAAGGAGCCCAGGGUCAUCAUGCAGAAGCAGCAGAGCCUCGCCGGGCGCAGUGACUCAAGCCUGUAAUCCCAACACUUUGGGAGACCUAGGUGGGAGGACCACGAGGUCAAGAGAUCGAGACCAUCCUGGCCAACACGAUGAAACCCCGUCUCUACUAAAAAUACGAAAAUUAGCUGGUAGUGGUGGCAAGAGCCUGUAGUCUCAGCUACUCGGGAAGCUGAGUCAGAAGAAUCUCUUGAACCUGGGACGCAGAGAUUACAGUGAGCUUAGGUCGUGCCACUGCGCUCCAGCCUCGCAACAGAACGAGACUCUGUCAAAAGAAAAAGAAAAAGAACCAGCAGAGCCUUGUCCACACUCAGCGCCAGAGCAUCGACGAGCUGCAGCGGCGGCUGGACGGAGCUGAGCGCGGAGAAUCGCUGCUUGUGGGAGCAUCAGCAGCUGCUGCAAGCUUAGCCUCCGCCAGGAUUCCUUACCUGGUGAUUUACCAGCUGCCGGCCUCCUGGGCACCGCUGCCGCCACUGCAGGGGCCCGGGAACCUCUUCAGCACUACGGACAGCGCUCAUUCGCCCAGUCACAGCCCGCUCCUGAGCCGGCGUCUCGGCCGGCAUCGUUUCAGAACCACGGACAGCUCCUGGCGCAACCCCAGCCGGGCUCUGGCGGCAGGGCUCACACACCCCAGGCGCUCCAUCAGCACCUGAGGACACUUGGGGCCAAGGCCAACAAUGAGAAGAAAGGUCCCCCGGAUUGCCAUGCUGCCCCCGGAGUUCCUCUUCAGCAAGAAUCUCCCGCGCCGUCGCCAAAGGCCAAGCAGCAGACCUGAAGGAAAAGGAGGCAUCUCUGCUAAUCCUCCCACCCAGUUCCUGAGAAGAAAGCACCAGCACACCUGGAAGCCACAUGCUGUGUUGGCCUGGUUGCUACUCCCCAGCACUCCCCUGCGUGAAGGACCUGGUGUCCCCUCCCAUCACCUCCAGCCACACCUCUCCUGUCUUCAAAAGCCUACAAGGCUAGUCCUUCCUCACUCUAAAGUCCUUUCAGAAAAACUUCUGAAACAGUGUCUCAAACUGCUAUAAAGUCAUAAAGAUGUUUCACAAGAGAUCCCCUAGAUAUAUACAUAUAUUGGCAAUUAAGCAAGUGCUGCACAGCAUACUAUUACCUUUGUGAAAUCUGAUGCACUCUCAUAGUUUCUAUUGUGAUUGCUAUGCUAUGCUAUGCUAUGCUAUGCUAUUCUUUUAAGGGCCCAUUAUAACUGACCAAGUGGAUGUCACAACUUUCUAACGAACCUAUGUCUGCAGCUAAAAUUCUCCAAAAUUCCAGCAAGGACAAAAACUCAGGCCUAGAUUUGCCACCAGUGCCCUCUUCUGGGCAGCUUUAUUAUAAGUAGUGUUUUAUAACAUUGUUUAAUUGUCAACAUCUGUAUGUGUGCACUGAGUCUCACCACUGAGUCUCGCCAAAAUAAAUGAUUUAUGUCUGUUGGUUACAACCGAAAGGAUUUAAGAAGCAAUGUUUAGAAAUGUUCUGGUGAAUAAAGGCCAAGCUAAAAUGGGCAUUGUGUGUAUGUGUGUGUGUGAGAGUGAGAAAGGCUCUCAUCAGAGGCUGUGCAGAUUCUUCUCUGCGAUCUCCUCUUUUCCUGCAAAUCAGCCAGAGGUGGGAUCUCAGGGACCUGUCCCUGCUUCCCCAAAGCCAUCCCCACACGAGGCCAGCCUGGGAAGAGGACAGCAGAGCUCACAUCUCUGUGGAGAGGAGGGUGGGCUCAAUGCAGGCCUCUGUGUCUUUGUUCAUCUUCACUUCAUAGGUCCUGUCCUGAGACCUUCCUACUGACACACCAUGGUUGCAUGGCUCUCCCAGGAAAGAACCUGCAAUGUUCAAGAUGGAGAAAAUCAUAAGGCACUGCCAACCCCACACCCCCACGCUUUGCUCAGCACACAUGCACGCGUUACUUAUGUACAUACACAUAUACGUGUGCACAAACAUGCACACAUACACACAUGUAUACACAUGUGAACAUGCAUGCAGUUUUUGUGGCCUCAUUCUCCUGUGAUGGCUGAUGAAGCCAUGGAGCCAUGGAAGUGUUUAGAUUAGGGAGAAGGUUCCAUGUGGGAGAACAUGUGGUGCUGGAUCCAAGGAGAUCUGAGUCCUGACCCCAAGUCACUUACCCUCCAGUCCAAGUUACUUAGCCCACUCCAUUCCUCAGUUUCCCUUUCUAUGAAAUUGGAAUGACAUAUGCCCUGCCUAACUCAGAGGCUUGCUGUGAGUCACAAAUAAUGCACAGAUGAGAUGUUGCUCUGAGGGUGGAAAGAGCCAGCAUUGGCCGAAGGGUCCUGGGCUGUGCCAUAAAAAAUAGGGUGGGCCAUGAAAAGACUGACCCCCACCCACCCCUAGCUGUGACAGCUAGGCCUUUAUGAAUUUGUUUGACACAUGUCAGAUAUCCCUGGCAUCUUAUUUUGAUGGUGCCCUUGAUUCUGAUACCUGCUUCCUAGAGUAAAGGCAAAGAGACGAAACCUCACCUAGAGGGUUUUGCUGUCCUGAGCAGAGGUUAGUGAGCCUGAGUCCUUGCUGAGUCUGAAUCCCUCCUGAGCUCCAGACCCUUCCACACUGAGAUGUGCCUUUCCUGCUGGGACAGAGUCUUCUGGUCACAGGGCCAUGUCUUCUUUAGCUCUGAGCCACGUGCUCUUCUUUUCCCAUCUGUGGUUAGCUCAGUGCCUCCCUCUGGCUUACUUCCUACAGACCCUGCAGGUCCCGCCUGCUUUAUCCUCAGACCCCUGAGGGCAUCAGGGGAAAAUCCAGUCCAUCCUUUCUGUACUCUGUGCUGGAUCAGUGCCCCUGGCUUUCAGCAUCUCAGACAGCUUAGGGCAGUUCUCUCAGGGAGGCCUGCAGAUAACUACCCGGCCUGCAAAGGGGAAGGGAAGAUUAGAAGUGAAAACUCCAAGUAGAUUGGGAGGGGAGGGAGGUGGAAUGGGCUUUGGAGAGGCCUAGGGAGAUAAACUGGAGAUGCAGAGUGUCAGCAGGCAGGCAACAGCAUUUCUGGGGACUACUGAGCACAGGACUUUCUGGCUUAUCCUCAGCACAAGCAAUGUCGGUGUCUGAGCUGCCUUUAACUUUGAGCUGCAACAAAGAGGACAAGGCCCAGGAACAGGAAUGCGGGCUACACUUGUCUUCACCAAGCUGAAUCUUGGCACCCUGUGUGUUGUUUGCCCCAACUGCAGCAGACAGAGGGAACCAGCACUUCGUGAGCACUGACUGUGUGCUGGGCACUGGGCUGGAUGCUUUGUGUGUUUUGCUUCACAAAGAGAUGCAUCUGUGGGGACAAGGAAACCCCCUGGGGUCCCCACCCCCAGGUCCUCUAAACAUCUCUCUCCACUUAUGUCAUAGAGUACAAAACUUCACAGGAAAAUGCCCUUAGAGGGUGAGGAAUCAAUUCACCCUGAGCAGCUAAAGAUGGAC
rnacentral:lncRNA from 1 species